GCAUAUCAAUAAGCGGAGGAAAAGAAACCAACAGGGAUUGCCUCAGUAACGGCGAAGUGAAGCGGCAACAGCUCAAAUUUGAAAUCUGGCCUCACGGCCCGAGUUGUAAUUUGUAGAGGAUGCUUCGAGCAUGGUCUGGCCUAAGUUCCUUGGAACAGGACGUCAUAGAGGGUGAGAAUCCCGUAUGCGGCCAGGUGCCUACGCUCAUGUGAAGCUCCUUCGACGAGUCGAGUUGUUUGGGAAUGCAGCUCAAAAUGGGUGGUAAAUUUCAUCUAAAGCUAAAUAUUGGCCAGAGACCGAUAGCGCACAAGUAGAGUGAUCGAAAGAUGAAAAGCACUUUGGAAAGAGAGUUAAACAGUACGUGAAAUUGUUGAAAGGGAAGCGCUUGCAACCAGACUUGCGUGCGGCCGAUCAUCCGGUGUUCUCACCGGUGCACUCGGUCGCGCUCAGGCCAGCAUCGGUUUUGGUGGUUGGAUAAAGGCCCUAGGAAUGUAGCUUCUCUCGGGGAGUGUUAUAGCCUAGGGUGCAAUGCAGCCCACCGGGACCGAGGACCGCGCUUCGGCUAGGAUGCUGGCGUAAUGGUUGUAAGCGACCCGUCUUGAAACACGGACCAAGGAGUCUAACAUCUAUGCGAGUGUUUGGGUGUCAAACCCAUACGCGUAAUGAAAGUGAACGGAGGUGAGAACCCUUAAGGGUGCAUCAUCGACCGAUCCUGAUGUCUUCGGAUGGAUUUGAGUAAGAGCAUAGCUGUUGGGACCCGAAAGAUGGUGAACUAUGCCUGAAUAGGGUGAAGCCAGAGGAAACUCUGGUGGAGGCUCGCAGCGGUUCUGACGUGCAAAUCGAUCGUCAAAUUUGGGCAUAGGGGCGAAAGACUAAUCGAAACCAUCUAGUAGCUGGGUUCCUGCCGA
rnacentral:rRNA from 1 species